ensembl:lncRNA
AUUUUGCGUCACCCUCCACUGCCGCCUCCACAGAGUUUCUUCCCCUGCCAUCUAUUAUUUUAAGCAUGUACUAUAUUGUAGAAUUUUUAGAAGAAUCAUUGGUUGGAAUUGUAGCAGAAUGCUGGACAUUCGAAGAUAAUGGGCAACAAUAUACUUACUGGCCUACAAACAAUCAGACAAAACGGGCCAAAAAAGAAGAAGUCCCUGACGAAGAGAUCUGGAGCACACGAAAAAUCCGUGUUUUUGCCCAAACUGGUAAAGUUCAAUAUACUGCAGAAUAUUUUCAGAUUAUUACUGAAAUAAAUUGCAAUGACAUUUCCUAAUUCCAUUAACAUUUCACCCCUAGAUGAUUUUGAGAGGGCAUUAAGGUGGAGUAAAAAUGCUGAAUUGAAUUCCUCUGUAGAAAGCGACACUGGCAAUAAUUUCAAGAGGCCAACCAGAAAACCAAGCAGAUUCGAAGACAGCAGCGAUGAUGAGUGGGGAAGAGACACCUGGAUGCCUAACUUAAAGAGAAAGCGUCAAGAUGAACCCUUUCCUCGUCUCAAGGCAACAGCUGUAACAAAAAGGCCAAACAAAGCAGAAGCAGCUAAACUUCCAGUUCCACCCAAGCUGCAACCAACCUUCACAGAAUCUUCCCACCAUCCCACCUGUGACCCUUCAGUUCCCUCAUCACAAGAUUUACCUGAAGAUGUUGAAGAGCCUCCCAGACCAUCCCCAAUGGCAGCAACAGAAUAUUCAAAUGCAGAGAGACAACCAUGGACAAGGCGUCCACAAGAUUUUUCAGUGCCAAAAGACCUCAAAGAAACACUGCAGGUGCUGCUGCAGAAAGUAGACACCCUGGCGGCCUCCCAGAGGGAAAUUCUACUUUUACUGCGGAGGAACCAGGGUCGUCAAAGGGAGGAUGAUAUCUUGGACCUCAAGACAGCUCAGUGCAUGGAGGAAUUGGAGGACCUUGAGAACCACCUUAAGGACCCUGAAUUUAGAAAGAAAGUGACACACCAUCUCAGCCUUAUUAGUGGGGCCAGUCCAGGGGAGUGUGUAAGGAGGGUAAUGCGCGCAGUAGCCACUAACAAUGUAUGGAGCCACUACAGCCUGCAUGGGAAGCGAAAGAAGCUGGCUCUAAUUAAUAAAACAAUAUGUAAAGUUAUCACACAUGCCGUCAUGAAAUGGAAAGCUGGUCUUGGGGAGAAGGAGAUAGAAAGUUUAAUAGCAGAGACUCUUAAACAUGCGCCGGCGCACAUAAAUAAAAGUGUCGAGGGACAUGUAGAGGAGUGGACGGAGGAGUAGAUGUGGAGGAGUAAAUGGUUCGGUGUUCAAGCUUCUGAAGAAAACCUUCUUUGUUCAUUUACAUGAUUAGAAACCUGUUCAUUUACAUGAUUAGAAACCUGUUCAUUUACAUGUUUAAAAACCUGUUUACCGUUUUGUUAUUUGUGAUUUAUCUAUACCUGUAAUAAACAACAUGAAUUAAUCAAAUUCGUGUCUUUCAUAAAUAGUUUUUGGGCAAAUGAGGACAAGUUAAAUUAGCCACGUCCGCCCAUAUAGAUUAAGAAUUAAAAUGACGAACUGGUUACCAACACACGACUAUAGAUCCACAAGGUUGCCACGACGUCGUAGUUACCAACUGGCAACGUUACAAAGUUACGUUGUGGCGACGUAUAGGCACCUUUCACUUUUCCGGUUGCCACGACGUAACUUGUUACGUCGCCACGACGAAACUUUGGUCACCAGAUUACAUUGCAGUUACGUAACGGUUACGUAAUGUUGUUAGCAGGGAAUUUCCUGUUGCCAGCAGGUGGAGCUAAGACUAUAAACAAAUAUUGGCCUAAAGAUGAUAUCAGGCCAGGACGCAUAUCAAACACAAGAACUUUGGUCAGACUGGAUAUUGCAUGUUUAAGUUAGUUUAAAACAAGUCAUUUCCUGUUGCCAGCAGGUGACGCUAUAAUUAUAAUUG